rnacentral:rRNA from 1 species
UGACCGUACUAAGGUAGCAUAAUAAUUUGCCUUUUAAUUGGAGGCUAGUAUGAAUGGCUUGACGUGAAAUAUACUGUCUCAACUAUAUUUAGUAGAAUUUAACUUUUAGGUGAAGAGGCCUAAAUUUUGUGGGAAGACAAGAAGACCCUAUUGAGCUUUAAAUAUUUAUGUUAGUGGGAACCUAAGAUUUAUAUGAUGGUCAUUACUUCUAAGUAUGUUGGUUGGGGCGACCGAGGAGUAUAAAGUAACCUCCUUGUAAUGUAAAGAAUUUGUUAUCAACGAACCUGUAAUAUAGGUUAUUCGGUAGUUACCAUAGGGAUAACAGCGUAAUUCUUUUGAAGAGUUCAUAUCGAAGAAAGAGAUUGCGACCUCGAUGUUGGAUUAAGGUGUCCUAAGGG